UCUCCGUAGGUGAACCUUCGGAGGGAUCAUUACCGAGUAUGGGGCGCGAGCCCGUACCCACACCCCCUGCUUACGCUCAAUCGUUGCUUCGGCGGGCUGCGGCCCUGUCCGCUCCCGGCGCCCCCCGCGGCGCGGGGAUGCGCCCGCCGAGGGAUCAACCCAAACGCAUGGCAAACGAGUCUGUCCGAGUCGAUUGUGAAUCAGUCAAAACUUUCAACAACGGAUCUCUUGGUUCGG
rnacentral:misc_RNA from 1 species